AUUGAACGCUGGCGGCAUGCUUUACACAUGCAAGUCGGACGGCAGCGGGGUAGUGCUUGCACUACUGCCGGCGAGUGGCGAACGGGUGAGUAAUAUAUUGGAACGUACCGAGUAAUGGGGGAUAACCAAUCGAAAGAUUGGCUAAUACCGCAUACGCUCUGAGGAGGAAAGCAGGGGACCUUCGGGCCUUGCGUUAUUCGAGCGGCCAAUAUCUGAUUAGCUAGUUGGUGGGGUAAAGGCCUACCAAGGCGACGAUCAGUAGCGGGUCUGAGAGGAUGAUCCGCCACACUGGGACUGAGACACGGCCCAGACUCCUACGGGAGGCAGCAGUGGGGAAUUUUGGACAAUGGGCGCAAGCCUGAUCCAGCCAUGCCGCGUGUCUGAAGAAGGCCUUCGGGUUGUAAAGGACUUUUGUUAGGGAAGAAAAAGGAGCGGUUAAUACCCGUU
rnacentral:rRNA from 1 species